ACAUUAUACUUUAAACUUCGUUUCUACAACACAGUGUAAUUAAAUUUUAUCAAGGAAAGGUUUAUAUUUAAUAAUUUAUCGUUGAAGCAAAAACUAUUGUCUCUAGAAAUGAAGAGAAAGGGAGAAUUGGGGUUCCCUGAAACAAUAAUCUAUUUAGAAGUGUGCGAUAGUGUCGAAGCGUGGAAAAAGGGGUUGGCACGAUAAUAGGGAGUUGAGUGGGGAGAGAGAAAGAGAGAGGAUGUUUAGUGAAUCACGAGCCACUACCCGUAGGAAAUUGAAGGCUGGAUAAGCCUUUAUUGGCCGAUAACGAUUAAUGAUUCUGCGUGGGAUUGCAGCCAGUUGCCUUGUCGUCAUUGGUCAACCAGUUCACCAGUCGUGAAUAUACGGAGAGACUCAUGCAUUUCUGCGGUUGAUUAUCAACGCUAUUUUGCGUUAUCGCGACAAAAUCAAAUGCAAAUUUCAUCGAGCGCUUUUUUCCCUCUUCUUUGACAGAGAUUUAUCGGAAUUAUCCAAUAGCGGAUAUUAUAUUAUACCGACAUCCGCUAAUGUUUACCGUUUGAGCUCCCUUUUAUAAACCACACUUUAUUGCCAGCUGUUGAGAAACUGGACUCUGGGUCCUCAGGGAUGGCUGUAAUUGAGCUGCGUUUCCUGGACGUCCUCUUGGCCUUCGACCAGGUCGCGGCUGUAAUAAAUAAAGGCGAUAUUUAGUUAAAAAUAAUAACUACACGUCUUCACGAAAUUACACCUAAGGAAAGAAUAUGCAGUGACCCAAUAUUUACAACACUUUUUGUCUCUUCUGAAAUUCCUCGCAGUUCCAUACAUAAUCCUCAAAGAGAGAAAGGGAAAGAAAAAGAAGAAGAAAUUAACGAGGUGCUGGAUAACGCAAAAGGAGGGAAAAAAGAUCUGAAAUGUAAUAGAAAGAGAAGUCUCGUGUUAUUCAGCAGACACUUCCGAGAAGUUCCCCUGUUUAAACUGCAGAUCUCGGCAGAAUUAAUUUUCCGAGUCCUCUCUUCGCCUGUUCAGUUUCCCCCCUUUCGGUUCGAAACGAGCUCUUCUCUCUUUCUCUCUUUCUCUCUCUCGAAAUACCGCACGAGCAAACAGUUUCGUUCACGUAGAAAGAAGAAUCCAAGGCGAUGUUCCGUAUGUGUUUUAUUGCAAAUUGAGGUUAAAGUCUUUGGCACAUGGCCAAGUAUUCACCUAGGCAGGCACAUUCCAGCUGCAUAGAUAAAUAUACGAACGUAUACAUGCAGAGAGACACAACUUUAAUGUUGAUCGUACAGCGUACACUGAGUGCGAGGGGGUUACAAUAAGGUGCCCUCAUAUGGAUUCGAGAACAAUAUAUGCGCAAUUCAAGUUCCAACAUUCAAGUUACACUGAAGUAAGACAUGACCCAUUGCUCUUGUGUACAAGACGAAGCUACGUGUACCCGCCCGAGUUUUAAGUAAGUACACGGAAAUUACAUGAAAUAAAUUCUUACAUUCACUUUCACAUUCUCCUUCAACUAUUAAGAAAGUAUUUUGCUUCAAAUGAAAACUGACAUUUUACACCCUAAAAAAGUAUUUUGAUUUCA